CGAAAGCCUGACGGAGCAACGCCGCGUGAGGGAUGAAGGCCUCUGGGCUGUAAACCUCUUUUCUCAAGGAAGAAGACAUGACGGUACUUGAGGAAUAAGCCACGGCUAAUUCCGUGCCAGCAGCCGCGGUAAUACGGGAGUGGCAAGCGUUAUCCGGAAUUAUUGGGCGUAAAGCGUCCGCAGGCGGCCUUGUAAGUCUGUCGUUAAAGCGUGGAGCUUAACUCCAUUUCAGCGAUGGAAACUACAAGGCUUGAGUGUGGUAGGGGCAGAGGGAAUUCCCGGUGUAGCGGUGAAAUGCGUAGAUAUCGGGAAGAACACCAGUGGCGAAGGCGCUCUGCUGGGCCAUAACUGACGCUCAUGGACGAAAGCCAGGGGAGCG
rnacentral:rRNA from 2 species